CGUUUGACUCUAUUAUAAUGACAGACUCCGGGAAGGGUAGAGGGCACGCGGAGUUAAUGAUUGAAUACGUCACUUCGCAGCGUGAAAGAGCAUCGGGUAGCUCGGUAAAUAAGUAGCUUUAUGACGCCGACCCAGUGAUGUUGUUGUGUGCAGCUGGAUCCACAGAAUAAAUGGAGAAAUGUACUGAGGGCAAACAAGCACAUUAUAUCCAUGACAGGUGGGUGAGAAUCCUAGAACAGACAGUCAAUGCAAUAUCACCAUGACAACCCAGCACUUAUUAAUCAGGUCAAGUAUUAGUAAGAACAUAACGAUAUGGUGACAUCAUAGUACUGUUGAAUGUCAGUGAUGGGUCAAUGAAUUAAAGGACAUUCCCUUAAGUCAUUAUUUACUAACCCUCAUGUCAUUCCAAAUAUUCUUUAAAUAAUCCCCCACAGAAGAUGUACAGUAUUUGGGCUGUAUGAAAGAGUAUUUUAGUAGCUAGCAUAUAUAUCGGUAUGGUAUAAUUAAGAUUUUUUUAAAAAUGUUUUUAAAAGAAGCCUCUUAUGCUCACCAAUUAGGCUGCAUUCAUUUGAUCAAAAUACAGUAAAAGCAGUAAUAUUGUAAAAUAUAUAAAUAAUAAAUAUAAAAACUGAGGAACUGUUUUCUAUUUUAAUAUACAGUACUAUGCUGGCUUUCUUAAACUUGGCUCUCUUAAACCUAAAUGGAACGGAAAAGGACUGGAAGGCCAAGAAAACUUUCAAAAUCUGAUGAGAAGUUUCUCAAAAGUUUCAUUUUUAAGAAAAUGGAAGAAGUCUAGGAGGUCACACUAAAUACUGAUUUUUGAUUAAAGAAACAGUUUCGUUCAGAAUUUUUUUUGAGAAAAAAAAAGUAAUUUAUUGGUAAAGUUGAAUUUUCAGCAUCAUUACUCCAGUCUUCAGUGUCACAUGAUCCUUCAUUUUAAUAUGCUGAUUUGGUGCUAAAUUAUUAUCAACUAUUAUUGGUGCUCAAAUAUUAAUGAUGGUCCUUAUUAUUAUCAAUGUUAAAAAACUGUUUUCACUGCUUAAUAUUUUUGUGGAAAUGGUGAUAUAGUCUUUGAUAGCAUAUUUGAAAUAGAAAAAUUAGUAAUACAUUUGUUACUGUUUUUAUUAAUCUUUGUUAAUGUUAUAAAAUAACAGUUGUUAAUUGUUUGUUAAUGUUAGUUCACAGUGCAUUGGCUAAUGUAACAAAUACAACUUUUGAUUUUAAUAAUGUAUUUGUAAACUAAGAUUAAUAAAUGCUGUAGAAGUGUUGUUUAUUGUUAGUUCAUGUUAACUAAAGUAGUUAACUAAUGUUAACUAUUAAAAACUUAAGUUUUUUAAAUCAUACUUAUCUGACCGUUAUCAGUUUGUAGUAGUAAACGAAGAGAUGUCAUAUCGAUCACAAGUUCAAUAUGGAGUACCGCAAGGCUCAGUACUAGGACCGUUGCUGUUCACUCUGUACAUGCUACCCUUGGGAGAUAUCAUUAGGAAGCAUGGCGUUAGUUUUCACUGUUACGCUGAUGAUACUCAGCUCUAUAUUUCUUCGCGCCCUGACGAAACUUACCAAUUCACAAAAUUAACGGAAUGCAUAGCUGACAUAAAUUGGAUGACCAGUAAUUUCCUACUACUAAAUUCAGAAAAAACAGAGAUUCUAAUUUUUGGACCAAAAACUUCUUCACGUAAUAACCUAGAAUGCUGUCUAACACUUGAUGGCUGCUCUGUUAACUGCUCUGUCAGUUAGGAACCUGGGUGUGCUCUUUGAUACCAAUCUUUCAUUUGAAGGCCAUGUUUCUAGCAUCUGUAAAACCGCAUUCUUCCAUCUUAAAAAUAUAUCUAAACUACGACAUAUGCUCUCAAUGACAAAUGCAGAACAGUUAGUUCAUGCGUUCAUGACCUCAAGGCUAGAUUACUGUAAUGCUCUACUGGGUGGUUGUUCUGCUCACCUGUUAAACAAACUACAGCUCGUACAAAAUGCAGCAGCUAGAGUUCUUACUAGAACUAGGAAGUAUGACCAUAUUAGCCCAGUUCUGUCAACACUGCAUGGCUUCCUGUUAAACAUCGUAUAGAUUUUAAAAUCUUGCUAAUUACUUACAAAGCACUAAAUGGUUUAGCUCCCUAGUACCUGAGCGAGCUCUUAAUGCAUUAUAGUCCUUCACGUCUAUUGCGAUCUCAGAAUUCAGGCCAGCUGAUAAUACCUAGAAUAUCAAAAUCAACUGCAGGCGGUAGAUCCUUCUCCUAUUUGGCACCUAAGCUUUGGAACAAUCUUCUAGCAUUGUUCGGGAAGCAGACACACUCUGUCAGUUUAAAUCUAGACUAAAAACGCAUCUCUUUAACCUGGCAUACACAUAACACAUUAUCAAUUUAUUUUUUCAAAUCCGUUAAAGGAUUAUUAGGCUGCAUAAAUUAGGUCAGCCGGAACGGGGAACACUUCCUAUAACACCAGAUGUACUCAUUACAUCAGAAGAAGAAUGGCAUCUACGCUAAUAUUAGUCUUUCUGUUUAUCCCGAGGUUUACCGUAGUCAACCGGAUCCAGGCCGUAUCCAGGUGAGAUUGAGGACCUACGCCUUGACACGACCACAACGCACCCCUGAAGUGUCAGCAGAGAUUGAGUCAACUAGAUCAUCCAUUGUGAAGGCCUCAUCGACAUGACAGCCAGUGGCACAGUUCCUCAACAAACCGUCCAUACCGGCGUGAUGAAUACGAUGGAUUGAACUGGAUUGAACUGGAAUAAAUACUUUGAAUGUUGUGAUCCUAUCGGGCUUAUAAUAGCUACCUGAAUCGUAACAAAGCACUGUUUGCCAGAGGAGAACUGGCCCCCCGACUAAGCCUGGUUUCUCCCAAGGUUUUUUUCUCCAUUUUAACACCUAUUUGCCACCUGUUUGCCACCUGAUGUCACCUGUUGGAGUUUGGGUUCCUUGCCGCUGUCGCCUUUGGCUUGCUUAGUUGGGGACACUUGACAUUUGAUAUUCAACAGUGCUUUGCAUCUGCCUACAUUGACAGCAUUUUCUUUAAGAGCUGCUGUGCAGCCAAAAUUAUAUACCAUUUAUCACUGUAAAGCUGCUUUGACACAAUCUGCAUUGUAAAAAGCGCUAUAUAAAUAAAGGUGACUUGAAAGGUGA